GACGAACGCUGGCGGCGUGCUUAACACAUGCAAGUCGAACGAUGAAGCCGGAGCCUGCUCCGGUGGAUUAGUGGCGAACGGGUGAGUAACACGUGAGCAAUCUGCCCUUGACUCUGGGAUAACUGCGGGAAACUGUAGCUAAUACCGGAUACGACACCUUGGGGCAUCCCAGGGCGUGGAAAGAAUUUCGGUCAAGGAUGAGCUCGCGGCCUAUCAGCUAGUGGGUGAGGAAAUGGCUCACCAAGGCGACGACGGGUAGCUGGCCUGAGAGGGUGACCGUCCACACGGGAACUGAGACACGGUCCAGACUCCUACGGGAGGCAGCAGUGGGGAAUAUUGCACAAUGGGCGAAAGCCUGAUGCAGCAACGCCGCGUGAGGGAUGAAGGCCUUCGGGUUGUAACCCUCUUUUAGCAGGGAAGAAGCGAAAGUGACGGUACCUGCAGAAAAGGCACCGGCUAACUACGUGCCAGCAGCCGCCGUAA
rnacentral:rRNA from 1 species